CCUUAUGAGGGGAACAACAGUUGGAAACGACUGCUAAUGCCCCAUAUGCCGAGAGGUGAAAAGUUAUAUCGCCUANGGAUGAANNNCNNGUCUGAUUAGCUANUUGGUGGGGUAACGGCUCACCAAGGCGACGAUCAGUAGCUGGUCUAAGAGGAUGAUCAGCCACACUGGGACUGAGACACGGCCCANACUCCUACGGGAGGCAGCAGUGGGGAAUUUUUCCGCAAUGGGCGAAAGCCUGACGGAGCAACGCCGCGUGAGGGAGGAAGGCCUUAGGGUUGUAAACCUCUUUUCUCUGGGAAGAAGAACUGACGGUACCAGAGGAAUAAGCCUCGGCUAACUCCGUGCCAGCAGCCGCGGUAAGACGGAGGAGGCAAGCGUUAUCCGGAAUUAUUGGGCGUAAAGCGUCCGCAGGCGGUUUUUUNANGUCUGUUGUUCAAAGCCCACAGCUCAACUGUGGAUCGGCAAUGGAAACUGGGAGACUUGAGNGUGUGGUANGGGCAGANGGAAUUCCCNGUGUNNCGGUGAAAUGCNNNNNNNGAUAUCGGGAAGAACACCAGUGGCGAAGGGCGCUCUACUGGGCCACAACUGACNCUGAGGGACGAAAG
rnacentral:rRNA from 1 species